CUCACUGUAGUAGACUGUAGGCUGCAUCUCACUGUAGUAGACUGUAGGCUGCAUCUCACUGUAGUAGCCUGUAGACUGCAUCUCAUUGUAGUAGGCUGUAAGCUGCAUCUCAUUGUAGUAGCCUGUAGACUGCAUCUCAUUGUAGUAGGCUGUAAGCUGCAUCUCAUUGUAGUAGGCUGUAGACUGCAUCUCACUGUAAUAGGCUGCAUCUCACUGUAGUAGGCCGUAGGCUGCAUCUCAUUGUAGUAGGCUGUAGGCUGCAUCUCACUUUAGUAGGCUGUAGGCUGCAUCUCACUGUAGUAGGCUGCAUCUCACUGUAGUAGGCUGCAUCUCACUGUAGUAGGCUGUAUCUCACUGUAGUAGGCUGUAGACUGCAUCUCACUAUAGUAGGCUGUAGACUGCAUCUCACUGUAAUAGGCUGCAUCUCACUGUAGUAGGCCGUAGGCUGCAUCUCACUGUAGUAGGCUGUAGGCUGCAUCUCACAGUAGUAGUCUGCAUCUCACUGUAGUAGACUGUAGGCUGCAUCUCACUGUAGUAGGCUGUAGUCUGUAUCUCACUGUAGUAGGCUGUAGUCUGUAUCUCACUGUGGUAGGCUGC
rnacentral:lncRNA from 1 species